rnacentral:rRNA from 1 species
UAGGGAAUCUUCCGCAAUGGACGCAAGUCUGACGGAGCAACGCCGCGUGAGUGAAGAAGGAUUUCGGUUCGUAAAACUCUGUUGUUAGAGAAGAACAGCGCAUAGAGUAACUGUUAUGCGUGUGACGGUAUCUAACCAGAAAGCCACGGCUAACUACGUGCCAGCAGCCGCGGUAAUACGUAGGUGGCAAGCGUUGUCCGGAUUUAUUGGGCGUAAAGCGAGCGCAGGCGGUCAAUUAAGUCUGAUGUGAAAGCCCCCGGCUCAACCGGGGAGGGUCCUUGGAAACUGGUUGACUUGAGUGCAGAAGAGGGGAGUGGAAUUCCAGGUGUAGCGGUGAAAUGCGUAGAUAUAUGGAGGAACACCAGUGGCGAAGGCGACUCUCUGGUCUGUAACUGACGCUGAGGCUCGAAAGCGUGGGUAGCAAACAGG